CCUGAUGGCACUACCCUGAUGAUGUUAGCCAUGGCUGCUGCCCUCAACAUGGUAGCCCUCAUAAAUAAACUGAUAUCAAGAAGUAACAUAGAUGGUGACAAGGGUGGCAAGGGUGCCUCAUGGCAAGGAGCCAUCCAGAAGUCCCAGCCUGGAGCCAGAGGCUGCUAUUACAAGUCAGAUGGGAGAUGGCCUACAGUAUGUUAGGCAUCAGAAAAGUGGUGUACGCAUGAAGGCAGAGUUGCCGCAGGCAACGAUGAGAUUAGACACUUGACAUUUACUGCGAAAGGUACCAUCAGAGCACCUCUCCCUACCCUGCAGGAUACCUAUACCAGAAGAGUACAACAACAGCCCAAAAGUAUUUCAAAAGACAUUUCACGCUCUGACCACGGACUGUUUAAACCACUGAGGUCAAGCAGACAUCUCUGUUCCCACGUGGCAGACUGAGGGAACACCCACAAAACAGACUGGGGAUGAGUUUCUUUACUCCGCAUCCUGUACACACACAACUCCUUAUACUACAUUACAUAGACUUGCCAUACUGCACUUACACACACUGCGCUUUUAACCCCCUUAUCUGUGUCAAAUCAUGUGUUCAAACCAUGUCUACUGUUGUCUGUCAACAUCCACUUCAGUCAUACAUUUGAAAU